UUUAAUUAAUCACGAAUAUAAAAAAAUCGUGUGUGUUGUGUCCGUAAUUAGGAUAUAUAUCUAAUUGCUUUUGGCCUCAAUUCAACGAAUUUAGAUUAAAAAUUGUAGAGUCAAAACGUUCGUCGGGAAUUUUAAAUCUACCGCGCCAAAAGCAUAAGCGAAAGCUCGUCCAAUCAGCGUGGUUUUCUUUCCCCACCGCUAUUCCUACAAGUCCCGCCUGUCUUAUAAAAUGAUUGGUCUGUCUUUCACACCAAGCACAGCCCGCCCUUCUGGUGAAAGGUCAUCUCUACUCAAUUAAAGCACGGAGGUGGGACAGCAGUAGCCAAUCCCAGCGCUGGAAAGCGGGGAUUGACGGAAUAGGAGUGGGGUUAAAAAAACAAGGCCUCGGAGAACCAAGCCUGUUUAAACUACGAGAUUAGAAAUCAGAUUGAACUUUUUUGGUUCUUAAAACAUUAUGUAUUAUUGCAGUCUGAAAUUUUUAGACGACAAUUUUAGGAGGAAUUUCUUUAUUAAAAAUCAUAAAUCUUAAUCAUAAAUUGUUUUUGAGAAUGCCUAAAAACACGUUAGAUUUGAACAAUUGAGGAAAGGAAAAAACAUACAAUAAUAAAAUGCGAAAUAAAUAAAGUAAAAAAUAAAGAUUUUUGCUUUACACGCAUUAUAAAAUUUACCAAAACACAAUAAACGAAUAAGCAAUAGUAAACUUACAAAUUUGAACGAUUAUUGUAAUUUAUUAGAAAUAAAAGUGAUGCAAGCUUGAACCUUAUUGGUUCUGAGAUGUUCUGAAAUAUUCCAUUCUUCUCAUGACUGGGUUUCUCUGCCCCCUCCUUGCCCCAUUCCCUCCCUCCUUCUCUCCGACCCCCUCCUCCUCCUCCUCCUCCUCCUCUCUCGUUUUCUAUCUAUCCUCCUCCCCUCCUGCUCUCCGUUUCAUUCUCUCGCGCGCUCGCCCACUCUACCCAUCUUUCUCUCUAUAUAUAUCUGUAUCUCUCUUCUUUUCUUUUUAUCUUUCUCUCACUGCUGCGGUUUCAGAAACGGACGUUAAAAACAGCAGAAAGGAAAGAAGUUUUAACCAAGAGCUUGAGCCAGACGGUCGGUGGUCGUGUGAAGAUGCGGACCCUCAGAUUCCCUGUGCUCGUGCUGGAGGACGGCAAGACGAUCGUGGCUAACUGGAGUAUGAUCAGCAUCACCUGCUUCACCAGGCCAGAAGUGCAGCACUACCAGCGCUCGAGAAUCAACCACAUAAAAGAAAGCCGAAGAGGAGAGAGAAGCGAGAAGAAGAGAAGAGCGAGGGGGAGGGAGGGGAGAUGAAGGAUGGAUAGAGAUAGAUGGAUGAACUCUGAGCAGUCCGGCUCAGAUUGUGAUCGCCGGGGGCUCUCCUGCUAUCUUCCUCCUCUGCAGCCCCUCUCUCUCUCCAGCCCGGCGAGCGUGCAGGCCCGCUAAGGCCAGCCCGGGUGAGCCGUCCUGGGCCUGAGAGGCAGCCUGAACUACCCUCCCUCGGUCAGCAGCACCUCCGGAGCCCACAGACAAAUCAAUACCAGCACACAGAGACUGAUGCUGGAUCACCCAAGCUAGCCCCCCAGCCGCGAGCCAAAUGACCUCACACACACGCAAACACACACAUACACACGGUCAAAGAUGCUAGCAUAUAUAUAUAGUUAUGUACUUUCUCUCUCUCUCUCUCUUACACACACACACGGUCAAAGAUGCUAGCAUAUAUAUAUAUAUAUAGUUAUAUACUUUCUGUCUCUUUCGUACACACAAACACACAAAGGUGCUAGCAUAUAUAUAUAUAUAUAUAUAUAUAUAUAUAUAUAUAUAUAUAUAGUUAUGUACUUUCUCUCUCUCUCUCUCUCUCUCACACACACACACACAUGCUUAAAGAUGCUAGGAUAUGUAUAGUUAUAUACUUUCUCUUUCUCUCUCAUACACACACAAAGAUACUAGCAUAUAUAUAUAUAUAUAUAUAUAUAUAUAUAUAUAUAUAUAUAUAUACAUAUAAAUAUAGUUAUGUACUCUCUCUCUCUCUCUCUCUCUCUCCCCCUCUCUCACACAAGCAAACAAUACUACACACUAGCAUACAUUCCUCUCUCUCUGUUCAUCUUUCUCACUCCUUCUCUCAGUCUCUUCCUCACUCCGCUCUCUCCAGUCUUCUUUAUUCUUCUUCCUUUUUGCUCUGUCUCCUUCUUUCUCUCUUCUUUCUUCUUUCUCCCUCUGUAUCUCUCUGGUUCUCCCGUUUCUCUUCCUCUCUCACUUAUCCAUUUUCUCCCUCUUCCUUUCUCCUGGUUUUUCUUUUACUUAGCCUCGGUCUUCCAUUCUCUCUUCUUUUGUCUUUCUUUCUCUGUCUGUCUCACACACACACUGUAAAACACACUAGUAUACAUGCAAAGUUUUCUCUCUGUCUGCCCCCCUUUACCUCAACAACACACUUUAAAACAACACACACACCCUCACACACACACACACACACACACACACACACACAAACACACACAGUAGCAAAGACACCUCACAAGUCCUGACUCCCACACACCUAGCCGUGUGUGUGUGUGUGUGUGUUGUUUACCUCAAGGGCAUGUUAUUUUGGACAAGCUUUCCACAACCCCAAACAGGCCUCAAUUAUUUUUACUGAACAUGCCAAAAGGUCCAGGCUGGUAUCCCCCAAACCCCCACCCUGCUCCACCUGAUGUCUCUCUCUCAAUCUCUCUACCUUCAGCCAUGCCGCCUCCCACUCUCAGCAAGAGAGACAGACUGAGAGAGAGAGACAGAGAGAGAGAGAGAGAGAGAUUAUUCAAAUAUGUUUGUGCAGUGAUGAACUUCCUCCCCUGAGCAUCUCGUUGCCCAUUCAGUAGCAUUCAGAGACUUGAAAGAAGAAAGCACUUAGCUGCACCAUGCCAUGCUGUGCUAACACUCCUCCACACUGCCAGGCUCCUUCUGUAAUGACCACCUCCAACGCCACCAACCACAGCUCUCCCAGAAGAACAGCAGCCAUCGGUCAGUCGAGCCGUGGUACACGCUCCGAUUCGCUCUUCCCUAAAAAGACUUCGGAAUGACUUAGGAAUGAGCAAGAGACCAAGAAUCUGCUCCAGCAGAAGUGAUGAAAAACUCGACGAUGUGGGCUGAAACAAACCUCAGCUAGCAAGUUCAUUUCACUGUUCGGACGCAGAAUAAAUGAGGACAAAGCCGACUGAAUGAUUCCUCCGGUGAGGCCAAAACAGCAUCCCUCUGAAGACAUGACAUCGCACAGCUCUCACUCAGGUCCAGCUCUGAGAGAAGAAGAGGAAAACAUCAGAAUUUCACAGCAGGACUGUGUAGUGUAGAAUGGUGGUUGUGAAUUACACACAAGCUGAAAAAAUGAGUUUCUGUUGAACUUGUUACCUUUGCUCCUGAGUUCCUUUUGAUUUAAACCAAAUCCUAAAGGCCUUCAUGGCUUUUCUUUUUUUUGUAUUGUAAAUGCCAAAGGAGAGGACUGAGCACUGUCUAUACAAAAGGUAAGUACACAAAAAAUAAGGUAAGUGAAAAACACACAUAAAUAUGCUGUAAGAAUAUAUUUUUAUUGUUAAUGAAUUUGUAAUGUUCAAAAUUCAUUGCUAACCAUGGUUUAAAUUAGGGAUGCACUGAAUAUUUGGCAACUGAAAAUAUUUCGCAGAACAUGGACAAAUGUACCAAAUAAUUCAUACUAAACAAUGAUCCAUUUAUUUUAAAUCAUAUUUCAAUAUUAGAAUUUUUUUUUCUGAAAACAAAAAUUGCAUAUGUAUGCACAUUUCAUAGGAAGUGAGAGACAGAGCUGGGAUAUAAAACUCAGUUUUAUGUUCAUUAUGUUCUGCUCACUUACAAUUAACUAAAUAAUGUUCAAUAUCAGUCAUCAUUCUUAGCAUCAGUUAACUAAGUAAUAUCUCUUCAUGAACGAGCUGUUUUCCACCUGAAAGAUGCAAGCAGUACAGGAAUAGCAUAGUGACAUCAUCGGCUGCCUUUCUCUGUGUAUAUUUCACACAAAUGUGACUUGGAUAGCACUGCUAAGGUAUAUUUACAAUUAGAAUAACACUGCUAAGGUAAAUUCAUGAGUAGAAUAGCACCACUGAGAUAAAUUAAUGAUGAGAAUAGCACUGCUGAGGCACAUUUUGUAUUAGAGUAACACUGCUAAGGUAAAUUCAUAAUUAGAAUAGCACUGCUGAGGUUAAUUCAUGAUUAGAAUAGCACCGCUGAGAAGUUUAUAGUGUGGUUUUGCUGCUGUUUUUCUCUGUUGGGAUAUUUACGGAAAUGUUUAGUAAAUGUUUUUAAAUGGUAGUUUUGUAAUUACAUUUAGGUUAAUAAAGUAAAUCACUGUUAAUUGUCAAAGGUAAAAAAAAAAAAAAAAAAAAAAAACACCUGUGCAACCUAUGAAACGUUGCCAAAUGUUUUGUCUUAAUAUGGUCUCGGCCCAAAUUUCUCCGAUUUCAGUGCAUCCCUAGUUUUUAUACCUCUUAUAGAGCUAGUAACCACAUAACACUUAUCCAACACAGUUACUGGUAACUUUAAAAAUGCACCCAAGCACGCAAAGAAAUCAUGUUUUAUAUGAUUCAUAUAUUUCUAGAUCUUUUUAGUCAGCGCUUGUCACACAUCACAAGUAAAAGCUUCAAGCCUCUGUUUCAUUUUGGUCUUAAAGUGAUUUUCAAUAAAGCUCUGAUUGAAGUAUUCUA